CCCGCCCGCUGGCGGCAUGCCUAACACAUGCAAGUCGAACGAGACCUUCGUGUCUAGUGGCGCACGGGUGCGUAACGCGUGGGAACCUGCCCUUAGGUUCGGAAUAACUCCCCGAAAGGGGUGCUAAUACCGGAUAAUGUCUUCGGACCAAAGAGUUAUCGCCUUUGGAUGGGCCCGCGUUGGAUUAGCUAGUUGGUAGGGUAAAAGCCUACCAAGGCGACGAUCCAUAGCUGGUCUGAGAGGAUGAUCAGCCACACUGGGACUGAGACACGGCCCAGACUCCUACGGGAGGCAGCAGUGGGGAAUAUUGGACAAUGGGCGCAAGCCUGAUACAGCCAUGCCGCGUGAGUGAUGAAGGCCUUAGGGUUGUAAAGCUCUUUUACCCGGGAUGAUAAUGACAGUACCGGGAGAAUAAGCUCCGGCUAACUCCGUG
rnacentral:rRNA from 1 species